rnacentral:rRNA from 1 species
UACGAAGGGUGCAAACGUUGCUCGGAAUUAUUGGGCGUAAAGCGCACGUAGGCGGCUUAGCAAGUCCCAUGUGAAAGCCCACGGCUCAACCGUGGAAGUGCAUGGGAAACUGCUGAGCUUGAGUACUUAAGAGGAGAGUGGAAUUCCUGGUGUAGCGGUGAAAUGCGCAGAUAUCAGGAAGAACACCCGUGGCUAAGGCGGCUCUCUAGUACGGUACUGACGCUGAGACGCGAAAGCGUGGGGAGCGAACAGG